CGCUGGCGGCGUGGCUAAGACAUGCAAGUCGUACGGUGUAGCAAUACACAGUGGCGAACGGGAGAGUAAUGAAUCGCUAAUGUGCCCCGGACUCUGGGAUAGCCAGUUGAAAGAUUGGGUAAUACCAGAUGAUAUAUCUUUAUCGCAUGAUAGAGAUCUCAAAGGUCCGCCGGUCUGGGAGCAGGCGAUUUCGUAUCAGCUAGUUGGUAAGGUAACGGCUUACCAAGGCGACGACGCGUAGCCGGACUGAGAGGUUGGCCGGCCUCAUUGGGACUGAGACACUGCCCAGACUCCUACGGGGGGCUGCAGUAACGAAUCUUCCGCAAUGCACGAAAGUGUGACGGAGCGACGCCGCGUGUGGGACGAAGCCCUUCGGGGUGUAAACCACUGUCAGGGGAUAGAAAGUUCUGAUCAUCCCCAGAGGAAGGCACGGCUAACUCUGUGCCAGCAGCCGCGGUAAGACAGAGGUGCCAAGCGUUAGGCGGAAUCACUGGGCUUAAAGCGUGUGUAGGCGGAUGCCUAAGUACCUUGUGAAAUCCCACGGCUCAACCGUGGAACUGCUCGGUAUACUGGGUGUCUUGAGCUGUCUAGGGGCUACCGGAACAAAUGGUGGAGCGGUGAAAAUGCGUAAGAUAUCAUUUGGAACGCCAAUGGUGA
rnacentral:rRNA from 1 species